CCCAGGUGGAGGCAGGAGGGGCAGAGAGCCUGAGUCCCCCGUGCAAACCCCCAGCUGGGAGAAGAAGUUCGAUUUGCUGAGGCCGGGGGUGGCAAAGAGCUGGGACAGGAACCUGCACCAAACCUUUGACACACAAGACGUUUCCCUUUGGGGCCAAGGCAAACAAAGGAAGGAAGCGUCUGGGACUUUUAAAGCGACCCGGUGGAGACAGCACUGGGAAUGGGAUCAGCAAGGAGUUUUCAGUGGGAUGCCGCCUCUGGCAGCACAUCCUGCACCAUCUCAGCUGCUGAGGGACUUCAGCUUUUCCCAAAAUAACAUCCCCGAUUCCUAAUCCCUGUAAAAAAA